rnacentral:hammerhead_ribozyme from 1 species
AUUCAGCUGACGAGUCCCAAAUAGGACGAAACGCACGUAUUGGAU